rnacentral:rRNA from 1 species
UAGAAGAACCGUACCGCAAACCGACACUGGUAGGCAGGGUGAGAAUCCCAAGGCGCUUGAGAGAACUCGGGUGAAGGAACUAGGCAAAAUGGCACCGUAACUUCGGGAGAAGGUGCGCCCUUUAGCGUGGUCACAUGCGUGACUGAGCGUUGAAGGGUCGCAGUAACCUGGCCGCUGCGACUGUUUAUCAAAAACACAGCACUCUGCAAACACGAAAGUGGACGUAUAGGGUGUGACGCCUGCCCGGUGCUGGAAGGUUAAUUGAUGGGGUCAGCCGCAAGGCGAAGCUCUUGAUCGAAGCCCCAGUAAACGGCGGCCGUAACAAUAACGGUCCUAAGGUAGCGAAAUUCCUUGUCGGGUAAGUUCCGACCUGCACGAAUGGCGUAACGACAGCGGCGCUGUCUCCACCCGAGACUCAGUGAAAUUGAAUUCGCUGUGAAGAUGCAGCGUUCCCGCGGCAAGACGGAAAGACCCCGUGAACCUUUACUAUAGCUUUACAUUGAACGUUGAGUUCUUCUGUGUAGGAUAGGUGGGAGGCUUUGAAGUGCAGGCGCUAGCUUGCAUGGAGCCAACCUUGAAAUACCACCCUGAAGUGCUUGACGUUCUAACCUCGACCCGUCAUCCGGGUCAGGGACCAUGUAUGGUGGGUAGUUUGACUGGGGCGGUCUCCUCCCAAAGAGUAACGGAGGAGCACGAAGGUACGCUCAGCGCGGUCGGACAUCGCGCACUGUGUGCAAUGGCAUAAGCGUGCUUGACUGCGAGAUCGACGGAUCAAGCAGGUACGAAAGUAGGUCAUAGUGAUCCGGUGGUUCUGUAUGGAAGGGCCAUCGCUCAACGGAUAAAAGGUACUCCGCGGAUAACAGGCUGAUACCGCCCAAGAGUUCAUAUCGACGGCGGUGUUUGGCACCUCGAUGUCGGCUCAUCACAUCCUGGGGCUGUAGCCGGUCCCAAGGGUAUGGCUGUUCGCCAUUUAAAGUGGUACGCGAGCUGGGUUCAGAACGUCGUGAGACAGUUCGGUCCCUAUCUGUCGUGGGCGUUGGAGAUUUGAGGGGGGCUGCUCCUAGUACGAGAGGACCGGAGUGGACGUUCCGCUGGUGUUCGGGUUGUCAUGCCCAUGGCAUUGCCCGGUAGCUAUGAACGGAAGUGAUAACCGCUGAAAGCAUCUAAGCGGGAAGCACGCCCCAAGAUGAGAUCUCCCGAGAGCUUGACUCUCCUUAAGGCACCAUCAAGACCAGGUGGUUGAUAGGUCAGGUGUGGAAGUGCAGCAAUGCAUGGAGCUAACUGAUACUAAUGAGCCGUGAGGCUUGACCA